AGUGAACGCUGGCGGUAGGCCUAACACAUGCAAGUCGAACGGCAGCACAGUAAGAGCUUGCUCUUACGGGUGGCGAGUGGCGGACGGGUGAGGAAUACAUCGUAAUCUACUUUUUCGUGGGGGAUAACGUAGGGAAACUUACGCUAAUACCGCAUACGACCUACGGGUGAAAGCAGGGGAUCUUCGGACCUUGCGCGAUUGAAUGAGCCGAUGUCGGAUUAGCUAGUUGGCGGGGUAAAGGCCCACCAAGGCGACGAUCCGUAGCUGGUCUGAGAGGAUGAUCACCCACACUGGAACUGAGACACGGUCAAGACUCCUACGGGAGGCAGCAGUGGGGAAUAUUGGACAAUGGGCGCAAGCAUGAUCCAGCCAUACCGCGUGGGUGAAGAAGGCCUUCGGGUUGUAAAGCCCUUUUGUUGGGAAAGAAAAGCAGCAGGUUAAUACCCCGCUGUUCUGACGGUACCCAAAGAAUAAGCACCGGCUAACUUCGUG
rnacentral:rRNA from 1 species